UUGGUGGGGUAAUGGCCUACCAAGGCGACGACGGGUAGCCGGCCUGAGAGGGCGACCGGCCACACUGGGACUGAGACACGGCCCAGACUCCUACGGGAGGCAGCAGUGGGGAAUAUUGCACAAUGGGCGGAAGCCUGAUGCAGCGACGCCGCGUGAGGGAUGACGGCCUUCGGGUUGUAAACCUCUUUCACCCAUGACGAAGCGCAAGUGACGGUAGUGGGAGAAGAAGCGCCGGCCAACUACGUGCCAGCAGCCGCGGUAAGACGUAGGGCGCGAGCGUUGUCCGGAAUUAUUGGGCGUAAAGAGCUCGUAGGCGGCUUGUCGCGUCGGCUGUGAAAUCCCGUGGCUCAACUGCGGGUCUGCAGCCGAUACGGGCAGGCUAGAGUUCGGUAGGGGAGACUGGAAUUCCUGGUGUAGCGGUGAAAUGCGCAGAUAUCAGGAGGAACACCGAUGGCGAAGGCAGGUCUCUGGGCCGAUACUGACGCUGAGGAGCGAAAGCGUGGGGAGCGAACAGGAUUAGAUACCCUGGUAGUCCACGCUGUAAACGCUGGGCGCUAGGUGUGGGGGACCUCUCCGGUUCUCUGUGCCGCAGCUAACGCAUUAGGCGCCCCGCCUGGGGAGUACGG
rnacentral:rRNA from 1 species